UUAAAACUCAAAUGAAUUGACGGGGGCCCGCACAAGCGGUGGAGCAUGUGGUUUAAUUCGAUGCAACGCGAAGAACCUUACCUGGUCUUGACAUCCACGGAAGUUUUCAGAGAUGAGAAUGUGCCUUCGGGAACCGUGAGACAGGUGCUGCAUGGCUGUCGUCAGCUCGUGUUGUGAAAUGUUGGGUUAAGUCCCGCAACGAGCGCAACCCUUAUCCUUUGUUGCCAGCGGUCCGGCCGGGAACUCAAAGGAGACUGCCAGUGAUAAACUGGAGGAAGGUGGGGAUGACGUCAAGUCAUCAUGGCCCUUACGACCAGGGCUACACACGUGCUACAAUGGCGCAUACAAAGAGAAGCGACCUCGCGAGAGCAAGCGGACCUCAUAAAGUGCGUCGUAGUCCGGAUUGGAGUCUGCAACUCGACUCCAUGAAGUCGGAAUCGCUAGUAAUCGUGGAUCAGAAUGCCACGGUGAAUACGUUCCCGGGCCUUGUACACACCGCCCGUCACACCAUGGGAGUGGGUUGCAAAAGAAGUAGGUAGCUUAACCUUCGGGAGGGCGCUUACCACUUUGUGAUUCAUGACUGGGGUGAAGUCGUAACAAGGUAACCGUAGGGGAACCUGCGGUUGGAUCAC
rnacentral:rRNA from 2 species